UGGAUCACCUCCUAACAGGGAGACAACACAAUGAUUUUGAUGCCUGAGUGCUUUUAUUCUUAGGCCGAAAUCCUGUCACCUUAGGUCGAUCGGUACCUCAGCUUUGAAAUUAAGGAUCAGCAGCGAUGUUGAUUGCUUGAUGGAGAUUUUCAGUUCCUAAACUUUGUCUAGGUCACACCCCAAAAGGGAUGAGACUCCUGGGCCAUUAGCUCAGGUGGUUAGAGCGCACCCCUGAUAAGGGUGAGGUCCCUGGUUCAAGUCCAGGAUGGCCCAUUCGGUGUUGGGGGUUUAGCUCAGUUGGUAGAGCGCCUGCUUUGCAAGCAGGAUGUCAGGAGUUCGAGUCUCCUAACCUCCACUGACCGAACUUGAUUCCCAUCUCCAGAUUUUUGGAGUUGAGCUCGAUUGGAGUGUGAUUUAGAUGUGUCCGCUGGAUGACCCCAGCUUCCUGUCAUUCCAAGUUUUAGGUUAAAGCCUUGAAUUUGGUUGAUAAGAUGCUGGGCUCGGAUCAAAUGAUCAAGCAAUUGAUGAUUUGAUUUGAAGUUCUAGCAGAACCUUGACAACUGCAUAGGUGAGUCUGGAAAAAACAAAGCAUCUUACAGAUGCAUUGUUUUGAAUCUGAUCUUUCGAAAGGGAGAUUGGAUCUAGAACAAUGAAAAUUCUUUUGAGCAAGAGCCGAGACUCUUGGAUGUUCUUUGAUUCGUGUCGAGCGAAUCAGAGUUUGAUCUUGUUUUUAGCAAUAAAAACUUGAGAAUCUGCUUUCAACGGCGGUAAGCGUUCAGGAGGUUAAUUGGUCAAGCUACAAAGGGCUCACGGCGGAUACCUUGGCACACAGAGGCGAUGAAGG
rnacentral:tRNA from 1 species